rnacentral:tRNA from 1 species
GGCGCGGAGUGGCAAGCGGAGUGGUUUUGUUCCGUAAGCUAUUGAUUAUAAACAACUGGCAACGGCCUGCAAAGCCGUGUACCCCGGUUCGAUUCCGAGUCGCGCCUCCA